CGGGAGGCAGCAGUGGGGAAUAUUGCACAAUGGGCGAAAGCCUGAUGCAGCGACGCCGCGUGGGGGAUGACGGUCUUCGGAUUGUAAACCCCUUUCAGUAGGGACGAAGCGCAAGUGACGGUACCUGCAGAAGAAGCACCGGCUAACUACGUGCCAGCAGCCGCGGUAAUACGUAGGGUGCGAGCGUUGUCCGGAAUUACUGGGCGUAAAGAGCUCGUAGGCGGUUUGUCACGUCGUCUGUGAAAUCCCUCGGCUUAACCGGGGGCGUGCAGGCGAUACGGGCAGACUUGAGUACUACAGGGGAGACUGGAAUUCCUGGUGUAGCGGUGAAAUGCGCAGAUAUCAGGAGGAACACCGGUGGCGAAGGCGGGUCUCUGGGUAGUAACUGACGCUGAGGAGCGAAAGCAUGGGUAGCGAACAGGAUUAGAUACCCUGGUAGUCCAUGCCGUAAACGGUGGGCGCUAGGUGUGGGGUCCUUCCACGGACUCCGUGCCGUAGCUAACGCAUUAAGCGCCCCGCCUGGGGAGUACGGCCGCAAGGCUAAAACUCAAAUGAAUUGACGG
rnacentral:rRNA from 1 species